UCCCUCCAGAUUCCUUAGCUCUCAAACCAAAACAGUGGUCUGAGCAGUUAAAGAAAAAGGAGGAAAGUGAACCUGAAGUGGACUUGGAGUCUUGUGACAAGUUCGCUUCAAACAAUA
rnacentral:snoRNA from 1 species